UUCUAAGUAGAGGUAGGGUUUUUCCGAUUGGUAUUCAACUGCUUCGGCAUUUUCGAGUUUCAAUAACCCUUUCUCCAAUAAUCUAUAGGAACACAACACCCACACCACAAUUAACCCGAUUACCACCAUUCGACCGGAUUUGAUAUUACAAUCUAAAUCCCUGUUGUUUGGUUGUAUUCAGACGCAGAUCUUAUAAUGCCGAAAAGAGGACGGCCAAGCAAUUCGCAGCAAACCCAGCAAGAUGAAAAUUCAGUCGUGGGUUCAGCUUCCUGAUGGUAACUGGGAGCUGGGGACAGUUCUUCAGGCUACUGGUAAUGAUUCAGUGAUAACAUCGCCUGAGGGAAAAGGGUACUGAAAGUGAGUUCAGAAACUCCGAUACCAGCAAAUCCUGAUAUUCUUGAUGGUGUAUAUGAUCUCAUGGAAUUAAGUUACCUGAAUGAAUCAU